UAAGUAAAUAAGAUAAGUAAGAUAGAUAAGUAAAUAAGAUAAACAAGUAAAUAAGACAAGUAAGUAAGAUAGAUAAAAAUAAAUAAGAUAGUAAGUCCAAGCAAGAUAGCGCUGAGUAAGUAUGUGCCAAAGUAAGAGUGUGCAAGAAAUGCGCCAACACAAGAACAGUUUAAGAGGCAGAAGACAAGCUGUUAAGAGGUUAGGAAGCUGUUUCUGGGAGGCUAUCAGCAAGUAAGAGUGUACAAGAACAUUAGAGUAAAGUAAGAGUGUACAAGAACAUAAGAGUAAAGUAAGAGUGUGCAAGAACAUUACCAGAACAAGUAUAACAGUUUGAGAGGUAGAGAACAGGUGGUUAAGAGGUUAGGAAGCUAUUUCUGGGAGGCUAUCGGGAAGUAAGAUUAGAGUGUGCAAGAACAUCACCAGAACAAGUAUAACAGUUUGAGAGGUGGACAGGCGAUUAAGAGGUUAGGAAGGUGUUUCUGGGAGGUUGUCAACACCCACACUUAUACACACCCCAACAAGCAUUCCUAGAGGUCACAGUAGUUCAGAGGCGUUAAGUACAUACACAGACAUCUACCGUGCCCACAUACCACAUUUCCUGAGCCUUGGUCCACACACACACAGACAAGCGCUAAAGAUCCUUCACCUGCAAAGAGAAAACAGAGAGGACAGACCAACAAAACAACUGAAUAAAAAACAGGAAAAUAUAAAAUGAGACAAAAUUUAGACAAAACGAUCAAGUAAGUGUUGUGU